GCGGUUUGUCGCGUCUUCUGUGAAAUCCCGAGGCUCAACCUUGGGCCUGCAGUGGGUACGGGCAGACUAGAGUGCGGUAGGGGAGAUUGGAAUUCCUGGUGUAGCGGUGGAAUGCGCAGAUAUCAGGAGGAACACCGAUGGCGAAGGCAGAUCUCUGGGCCGUAACUGACGCUGAGGAGCGAAAGGGUGGGGAGCAAACAGGCUUAGAUACCCUGGUAGUCCACCCCGUAAACGUUGGGAACUAGUUGUGGGGACCAUUCCACGGUUUCCGUGACGCAGCUAACGCAUUAAGUUCCCCGCCUGGGGAGUACGGCCGCAAGGCUAAAACUCAAAGGAAUUGACGGGGACCCGCACAAGCGGCGGAGCAUGCGGAUUAAUUCGAUGCAACGCGAAGAACCUUACCAAGGCUUGACAUAUACGAGAACGGGCCAGAAAUGGUCAACUCUUUGGACACUCGUAAACAGGUGGUGCAUGGUUGUCGUCAGCUCGUGUCGUGAGAUGUUGGGUUAAGUCCCGCAACGAGCGCAACCCUCGUUCUAUGUUGCCAGCACGUAAUGGUGGGAACUCAUGGGAUACUGCCGGGGUCAACUCGGAGGAAGGUGGGGAUGACGUCAAAUCAUCAUGCCCCUUAUGUCUUGGGCUUCACGCAUGCUACAAUGGCCGGUACAAAGGGCUGCAAUACCGUGAGGUGGAGCGAAUCCCAAAAAGCCGGUCCCAGUUCGGAUUGAGGUCUGCAACUCGACCUCAUGAAGUCGGAGUCGCUAGUAAUCGCAGAUCAGCAACGCUGCGGUGAAUACGUUCCCGGGUCUUGUACACACCGCCCGUCAAGUCAUGAAAGUCGGUAACACCUGAAGCCGGUGGCCCAACCCUUGUGGAGGGAGCCGUCGAAGGUGGGAUCGGUAAUUAGGACUAAGUCGUAACAAGGUAGCCGUA
rnacentral:rRNA from 1 species